rnacentral:misc_RNA from 1 species
UCCGGUUUGUCACCGGCAGUCUCAUUAGAGUGCCCAACUGAAUGUAGCAACUAAUGACAAGGGUUGCGCUCGUUGCGGGACUUAACCCAACAUCUCACGACACGAGCUGACGACAGCCAUGCACCACCUGUGAUCCUGCCCCGAAGGGAAACCCUGUUUCCAGGGCGGUCAGGAACAUGUCAAGCCCAGGUAAGGUUCUUCGCGUUGCCUCGAAUUAAUCCACAUCAUCCACCGCUUGUGCGGGUCCCCGUCAAUUCCUUUGAGUUUUAGCCUUGCGGCCGUACUCCCCAGGCGGGGCGCUUAAUGCGUUAGCUACGGCACGGAUCCCGUGGAAGGAAACCCACACCUAGCGCCCAACGUUUACGGUGUGGACUAC